rnacentral:lncRNA from 1 species
CAUCGUUUUUUCAGAUCUGUCAUUAUGAAGGACAAAAUAAUGAAACUAUGACCUGUGAAUGGAGUGAAGCUCACCUUUGUGCUGCUCUGCCUUCAUCUGAAUGAAAUUCAACUGUUGGUUACGCUUUAAAAAGAAAAGGUUUUCCACUGUCUGAUCUCUUCAUUGGUCUGAAUCUGAACAGUGGUUCCUAACAGACUGAAGCUUCAAGGAGUGAACUUGGAAUCAGAACCACGCCUUGGAAAAUCUGGUCACUUGAGAUGGAAUAGAUAAUAAUCUUAAAAAUAAAAGUACCCUGGACAAAGCGUUUUGAAAAUAAAAUGAGCUGUGUAAAAGAGUUUGCCCCACUACAGGCUUGCACUGGAUGUGCCCUUCAGCUUACUUUUCUGCUUCAUGAGCUACAUCCCUACAUCUUUGGGGUGUAUGUAGACAUGGAAUGGAAGUGCCUGAAAGCUCAAGAUGAGUAGUGCAGGAAGCUGCAUAGUGCAUAAGGAUAUACCUACAACUGCCAAAAAUAUUUUUCAACGGAAGUCAGCACAGAAACGAAGUGUGGAAUUGUAAGGCCUUAGAAUGUAACGAAAAGUAUUUGAUAGUAAUACAGACUCAGGAGUAAAUAGAAUUUUUAGCAAUGGAUUAAUUUAUUUAGCACAUAAUUGAGCUUUCUAUUCAGCAACUUUCAGCAGUCUUUCUCUUAUCACUUGCAAAUGUGCUUGACAGCUAGUUAACUACUAUUUUACUACAGUGAAAACCCGACUGGUUCAAGGACCAAGGUGUGUACUUUUGAAUUAUAGCUGUUAUGCAAGUUAUUUUCUACUGUCUUACUUUGAUGAUAGAUGCAAUAAGAUCUGUAAACAUUCUGUAUCAGAAUAGCAUAGAAAAAAAUGGGGCCUUUUUGUAAGGGACUAAAGGUUAAUUCAAACCUG